AGGGUUUGAUUCUGGCUCAGGACGAACGCUGGCGGCGUGCUUAACACAUGCAAGUCGAACGGGAUCCUUUCUAGCUUGCUAGGGGGGUGAGAGUGGCGAACGGGUGAGUAACGCGUGAUUAACCUGCCGUGUAGUUUGGAAUAGCUCCUGGAAACGGGUGGUAAUGCCGAAUGUUCCACAUGCUCGCAUGGGUGUGUGGGAAAACGUUUUAGUGCUAUGCGAUGGGAUCGCGUCCUAUCAGCUUGUUGGUGGGGUAGUGGCCUACCAAGGCUUCGACGGGUAGCCGGCCUGAGAGGGCGACCGGCCACAUUGGGACUGAGAUACGGCCCAGACUCCUACGGGAGGCAGCAGUGGGGAAUAUUGCACAAUGGGGGGAACCCUGAUGCAGCGACGCCGCGUGCGGGAUGACGGCCUUCGGGUUGUAAACCGCUUUUAUUGGGGAGCAAGCGUGAGUGAGUGUACCUUUUGAAUAAGCACCGGCUAACUACGUGCCAGCAGCCGCGGUAAUACGUAGGGUGCAAGCGUUGUCCGGAAUUAUUGGGCGUAAAGAGCUCGUAGGCGGUUUGUCGCGUCUGGUGUGAAAGUCCAUCGCUUAACGGUGGAUUGGCGCUGGGUACGGGCAGGCUAGAGUGUAGUAGGGGAGACUGGAAUUCUCGGUGUAACGGUGGAAUGUGUAGAUAUCGGGAAGAACACCAAUGGCGAAGGCAGGUCUCUGGGCUAUUACUGACGCUGAGGAGCGAAAGCGUGGGGAGCGAACAGGAUUAGAUACCCUGGUAGUCCACGCCGUAAACG
rnacentral:rRNA from 1 species